rnacentral:rRNA from 1 species
AUACGGAGGGUGCAAGCGUUACUCGGAAUCACUGGGCGUAAAGCGCGCGCAGGCGGCUAUUCAAGUUGGACGUGAAAGCCUACGGCUCAACCGUAGAACUGCAUCCAAAACUAUUUAGCUAGAGUGUGGGAGAGGAAGAUGGAAUUAGUUGUGUAGGGGUAAAAUCCGUAGAGAUAACUAGGAAUACCAAAAGCGAAGGCAAUCUUCUGGAACACUACUGACGCUGAGGCGCGAAAGCGUGGGGAGCAAACAGGAUUAGAAACCCUAGUAGUCC